GGGUGUGGGUGUGUGUGUGUGUGUGUGUGUGUGUGUGUGUGUGUGUGUGUGUGUGUGUGUGUGUGUGUGUGUGUGUGUGUGUGAGAGAGAGAGAGAGAGCGAGAGAGAGGUUUCUCCAGCUGUGAUGUCCUAUUGAUGGUAUUUUAAGGUGUAUUAAAUUAGAUUGGACUGAAUAGGAAAUCACUGAAGGCCCAGGGGUGGAACGCACCGCCCGCCACUGGUCGGUGCAUCCCUAAAUUAAAGACUUAAACUUGUGUUUUUUAGAACUAUAAAAGCUAAUUUCUCUGUUGAGUCUCAGCACAAUGGCAGACAAGGCACCGGUUCGAUUACUGUUCAGUUUGAGAGAAGACAACAACGUCAGAAUGGAGCUACACCACGGAAUUCCAAACUCAUUGGAAGAGCUUAUCGAUGAAGUGAAGAAGGCAUGCGGAUUAGAGGGAUACAUAGAUUGCAGUAUUAGGACACUGAUUUUGGUAAUAUAUUUGUGAAUCUGACCUCUACAUCUGUCAUUAGGGAUCUGGCAAUUCUUAAAGUAAUUCAGUUAGACCCUGAUGCCUCAGCCAUUGUCUUGUAUCCGGUUGAGUCUUCAACAAGUAGCAGCACUUCGUUUGCUCUGGACAGUGAUGACUCCUCAGUCUCUGCACAUACAGAUGACACAAUAUUGCUUAGCCACUCACCACACUCCCUGAGAACACAGCAGUGGCCCUCAGUGUUCCAAAUCCCCAACUUCUCCUAUGACACAGAAUGCCAACUGCAGAGGGCAAAUACGGAGUACAUGAAUACCCAAACUACUCUGACACCUAGUUCAAAGAUGCUGUCAGACAUAUAGGACAAAUUAGCUGAAAGUGUGUAUGCAUACACGCCACAUCCUGAAGACUGCCAUUACAGUGAUGUUGCAGUGGCACUCACAAGUAAGCACCCCUGCCUUAGGGAACCAGGAUCUUUCAAUCAGAGCUAUGGAUGGAAACAGCGGCUCAAGAUAAAAAUGGGCAACUACCGGACCCAACUUAAGGCACAUGGCUCAUCUGCUGAGCUCACAGUGAAUUCUUCAAAAUCUAGAGUCCAGGGAAUUCCUACCCAGCAAAGAAUGUAAAGAGACCUAGACGAGCUGAGGUCAAUCAUUUUCCAGCUUUGCCAAGUGGUGAGACUACAGAAAGCCUGGAACAAGAGCAAAUUCCCAUUUUGGCAGAAAUCCAGGAAAGAAACAACCGACAAACGGUAAAAGAAAAGAUGGCCAAGACGUUUGGAUACCGUCGACAGGAAAUAGUACACAAGCAGCCAACGACUCAAGAGAUUAUGGAGAGAUGGCCAGCACUUUUCCUGAAGGAGUAGGGGUGAUUUUGAUACCAUUGACACAUUUGUGUAUUAAUUGUGUUGCUGUUGGAUUGAAAAGGUUUUGUAAAAGAGAUUAAAUUAAUAAUGUUAAUUAAACAUUUAAAAGGCUGAUCUUCAAGCAGAGUGAUCAAAUGUGUAAAAAUUUUAUAUUUUAAUUUUUGUUCUGUCUGUGUGCUUGUUAUUUUACAGAUCAGUGCUGAGUUCCUGCGAGUUACAACAGUUCCAUUGGAGGCAACGUUUUUGGCACAGCUGGACAAACAUUCUACCAAACUGCUACAGGUCAUCAGGAGCAAGGGAGGACGUGUGAAAGAGCAGACCACUAGGACCUUGGAAGUUUUAGAUGAGACUGUUGACAUCACCAAGAAAAGAGAGGCUGUACUCAAAUCUCUGACGAUCUACCAGGGUGAACCUGUUGAGAACCUUGUUAAAGAAUGCCAGGAUGUGCAGGAGAAUGGCCAACAGCAACUGGAAACCAUGGCAAUAUUCGUCAUCAGGAGAGAGAUCCUUUCCAUCCACCGAAAGACAUGACGAUAGUCAUCGACGGAGCACAGGUCCUGACAGAUGUGCCUUCUGUUGCAACAGCUGUUGCCAUGUUCUUUGCACUGAUAUAUGCCCUCAACUUAAAGUAUCCAAAACAUCUGCAGUACACUCUGGAAUUCAUUCAAAAGGUCCUGAUGGAGCUCGGUGGCAAAAAGAUGUCUUCAAACAUUCACAAGCUGAGCACUCUGCUUUAGAGAUGUUGAACUCUGAUUCUUCCAUUGUUGCAUCUAAAAAGAAGACUUAAGAUCCUUUUGUGACGUUUGUGUUCUGCUAUCGCUGUCGCAAAAAUACUCAAGUUCAGAGACUUGUUCAAUACUUUGUUAAAAACUAAGGAGCAAUCCAAAACAUAAUGCAGUGUUUUUAUUCAGACAAAGAAAGGGUUGUUUGCAUUUGAAAGUUCCGGAACUAACUGUCACUAAUAUAACUGGUAACAUUUUACGUUGAUUUUGUUGACGAUGAGACAAUUGUUGAUUUAGUUUAAUGAACAUUUUAUUAUUAUUUUUAGGUAAUAUUUGUUGCCAGAUUUAGUUCAACAAUGUUUUAUUUAAUUGAAUCAUUUGUUUGAGUUUCUGAGUGGAUAGUUUGGCUCUAUUCAGCAGGAUUGACCUGGACAAAAUGUAAAAAUUUCAGUGAUUCUGACAGCUAAAAAUAUAUCUUUCAUAAUACAAAAUUACAGUGCUGUUAAUAAAAAAAUGCAUGUUAAAAAAAUCUAGGGCAUUGUUUUGGCUGACAUGUUCUUUAACCAAUAAAUGUUUAUAGACAAAAAAAAUGUGCUGCUGAGUGUAAAUCAAUGCAAGUGUAAAAGGAAUUUCAUAUUUACAAUAUAAUCACAAUUCUUUAUUUGAUACAAUUUACAAAAGUUGCAUUUGCUCAAACAGUCAGAAUUAGUUUCUAUCAAUUUUAAAAUAUCAGGUUAGGUUUAGUGAA